rnacentral:misc_RNA from 1 species
CGAGAUUAAGAGGACGUAAUAACUGCGAAAGAUCAGAGAUGGAAAUGGAUAUGGUUUGUGUAACUGGUGGAACAGGAUACCUAGCAUCAUGGCUGAUUAUGAAGCUUCUUCAACAUGGAUACUCAGUAAAUGCUACAAUAAGGUCAACUCAAGGUUAACAUUUCCCACUGAUUCUAUUCAUCGUCUUUUAAGAUCACAAAACAGAUGUUAGCUACCUCACUAACUUGCCUGAAGCAUCCCAAAGGCUACGGAUUUUUAACGCUGAUAUGGACAAACCGGAGAGCUUUAGUACAGCUAUUGAAGGAUGUGUUGGAGUAUUUCACGUUGCUCAUCCAAUGAAUUACGGGGACCAAGAAAUUGAAG